rnacentral:misc_RNA from 1 species
UGCAGGAUCAACCAGGUAGCAUUCCUCGGAGACAUUGAGUCGCGGGACGUAAAACGUCCACGAGACAUCAAACGUCAAUCGAAUGGGGCGUGUAAUGCCGAUUCGUGGGUUAAUAGAGGGUCGUGGACCCUUACCCGCAGCGUUUUCUGAAUCCCCGAAAUCGAGCUACGCCCGUGGGCCGAUACCGCAUAGCGUUUUGUAUGCUGCUCGGAGCACGAGUUUCGCCUUAUGGUUUUCCCGAUUCCGCACCGUGUCAACGGGCAGCGUUGGGAAAACUCGGGAUCGAUUGCCGAACGAGUUCCGUCGAUGUAGGUAUACAGCACAGGAAACCGGCGACUUGGCCAAGGCAAAAUAGGCUCUUGUGCCAAUAAUGAAGAGGAAUGCACGAUAGGACGUCGCACCC